rnacentral:rRNA from 1 species
GUAACCGGUAAUCGGAUUCUGGGCGUAAGCGCACGCAGGCGGUUUGUUAAGUCAGAUGUGAAAUCCCCGGGCUCAACCUGGGAACUGCAUCUGAUACUGGCAAGCUUGAGUCUCGUAGAGGGGGGUAGAAUUCCAGGUGUAGCGGUGAAAUGCGUAGAGAUCUGGAGGAAUACCGGUGGCGAAGGCGGCCCCCUGGACGAAGACUGACGCUCAGGUGCGAAAGCGUGGGGAGCAAACAGGAUUAGAUACCCUGGUAGUCCACGCCGUAAACGAUGUCGACUUGGAGGUUGUGCCCUUGAGGCGUGGCUUCCGGAGCUAACGCGUUAAGUCGACCGCCUGGGGAGUACGGCCGCAAGGUUAAAACUCAAAUGAAUUGACGGGGGCCCGCACAAGCGGUGGAGCAUGUGGUUUAAUUCGAUGCAACGCGAAGAACCUUACCUGGUCUUGACAUCCACGGAAGUUUUCAGAG